CUACCCUUGACAUGUCUGGAAUCCUGAAGAGAUUUGGGAGUGCUCGAAAGAGAGCCAGAACACAGGUGCUGCAUGGCCGUCGUCAGCUCGUGUCGUGAGAUGUUGGGUUAAGUCCCGCAACGAGCGCAACCCUUGUCAUUAGUUGCUACGAAAGGGCACUCUAAUGAGACUGCCGGUGACAAACCGGAGGAAGGUGGGGAUGACGUCAGGUCAUCAUGGCCCUUAUGGGUAGGGCUACACACGUCAUACAAUGGCCGGUACAGAGGGCUGCCAACCCGCGAGGGGGAGCCAAUCCCAGAAAACCGGUCGUAGUCCGGAUCGUAGUCUGCAACUCGACUGCGUGAAGUCGGAAUCGCUAGAAAUCGCGGAUCAGCUUGCCGCGGUGAAUACGUUCCC
rnacentral:rRNA from 1 species